rnacentral:rRNA from 1 species
AUGAGUUUUGACUCUCGAGGAACAUAUGAUUUCUACAAUCUUUAUUCAUGGGAACUCGGAUUUGGUAUAAGAUAUGGCAAGAGCGGUUUGAAUGUCGAGCUGACAAAGGGUAUGCAGAAAAUUGUGUGUGGAUGCUCGCUGAUAAAUUUCUUUUGCAGGGGAAGCCAGCCGGUCUUGCCAGUGCGAAUGCCCUGCAAUGUUUUCGAGGAUGGGGCUUACUAG